UACGGGGGGAGCAAGCGUUGUUCGGAUUUACUGGGCGUAAAGGGCGCGUAGGCGGCGCAACAAGUCACUUGUGAAAUCUCCGGGCUUAACCCGGAGCGGUCAAGUGAUACUGUCGUGCUAGAGUGCGGAAGGGGCUACUGGAAUUCUCGGUGUAGCGGUGAAAUGCGUAGAUAUCGAGAGGAACACCUGCGGCGAAGGCGGGUAGCUGGGCCGACACUGACGCUGAUGCGCGAAAGCCCAGGGUAGCAAACGGG
rnacentral:rRNA from 1 species